ensembl:lncRNA
CAGUUACAUAUGGACCCCGCCAAGGUCAUGGCAGUCACAGAGUGGCCUGCGCCCUUCAACCUGAAGCAGCUACAGCGUUUCCUGGGGUUUGCACAUUUUUAUAGAUGUUUCAUCCACAACUACAACCGUCUGGCUACACCUCUCACCACUGUCACCUCCACCUCCGUUCCACUGGACUCCUGAGGCAGAGGCAGCAUUCUUGGAACUCAAGUGUCAAGCUUCACCUCCGCUCCGGUCCUUAAUCAGCCCAACCCAGGACUCCAGUUCACCGUGGAGGUGGAUGCCUCUGACACCGGGGUAGGUGCUGUUCUGUCUCAACGUUCCCCCUCUACAUCCAGACCACCAAACAUCUGAACUCCCAGCGAGCCAGGUGGGUCUUGUUCUUCGGUAGAUUCAAUUUAACACUCACUUAUUGCCCCGGUUCUAAGAAUCCCAAGCCUGAUGCCCUCGCCCGCCAGUUCACCACGACAACACAGGAACCAAGCCAGAAACCAUUGUGCCAUCCACCUGCAUCAUUGCCGCCAUCGCCUGGGAGAUCAAUUCCUGUAUCCGCCAGGCUCAGCAGAACCAGCCUGACUGGUGUAAUGGUCCUAGGAAUGCUCUGUUUGUUCCAGAUUGUGUUGUCUCUGAGGUUCUUCAGUGGGGCCAUUCUACUCACCUCACCUGUCACACUGGUAUGAACCGGACCCUCACCUUCCUGCAUCAGCGCCACUGGUGGUCCACCAUAGAGGGAUGUCCUGGAGUUUGUCUCAGCCUGCUUGGUUUGUUCUUGGAACAAAACCUCCACUAAACCCACUUCCGGACUGCUGUGCCCUCUUCCAUACCAGUCGCCCCUGGCCACACAUAGCUCUGGACUUCGUCACAGGCCUUCCCCAUCUAACGACCAACGGCCAGACCAAAUGGGCCAACCAAGAGAUUGAGACUGCCAUACGCUGCGUGACUUCUGCUAACCUUUCCUCCUGGAGCGCUCAGCUACCCUGGGUUGAAUAUGCCCACAACACCCUCACCAAUGCCUCGUCAGGACCAUCUGCGCCGUUGUCAUCGUACCUGGAGGAAGGCUCGGGCUGCCCUUUGCGCCUCCGGCAGGACCCAGUCCCAAGCCAACUGUUGCCGGGUCUCAGCCCCAGUCUACACCCCAGGUCAAAAGGUAUGGCUCUCAUUAAAGGACCUGCCAUUGAAGGUGGCAUCGAAGAAACCUUCCCUCCGAUUUCAUUGGUCCCUUUGAAAGUGUCAUUAACCCCUCUGCUGUGAGCCUGAAACUCCCAGCCUCUCUCAGGAUCCAUCCUACCUUUCAUGUAUCCCUGAUUAAACCUGUCUGCUCCAGUCCCCUGUCUCAUCCUGCAGCAGCUCCUCCACCCCCUCAGCUCAUUGAUGACCAUCCUGCCUAUACCAUUCGGCGGAUUUUGGAUGUGCACCGUCGGGGUCGUGGCUGGCAGAAGGAUACGGACCGGAGGAGCGCUGCUGGGUGCGUGAUUUCUAUACCUCACACCCAGAUAAGCCAAGUGGCGCUGGUAGAAGGGGGUUACUGUUACAUCUGCUCCUGUCAUGCCCUCAACUGCUCAUCCUGUGUCUCCUUGACCUGCUGCCACUCCCCCAGUGCUCUCUCCCUCCCUCUGAUUGUGUGGGCGGAGACAGGUGUGCUCAGUCAGAGCAGAUCCCCACCAGCUACAACCUGUCCAUAAUCAAGACCUCUACAAAUACUCAGUCCUGCCACUUCCACACGGCCAGAUCGUAAUCUCUGCUCAUUCUGCCUGCUCUGACUCUUGUCCCUGUCUCCAGUCCCACGUCUCCUCAUCCUGCUACUCUGCCCUGGAUUCCCCACUCUACUGCUCCCUUGGAUUCCCCUCCGGACCUGCUUACCAUGUCCCAACUCCUCUCACUCCAGCCUCAGCCUCCGCACCUGGUUUCCUGCAACCCGCCCGAGCUUCCCCUGGCCUGCACUCCAUCUUCCCCCUGUGUUUCAAUACAUGUCUUGAUUACUUCAUUACUUCA